rnacentral:rRNA from 1 species
CCUACGGGAGGCUGCAGUAGGGGAUAUUGCACAAUGGGGGAAACCCUGAAGCAGCAACGCCGCGUGGAGGAUGAAGGUUUUCGGAUUGUAAACUCCUUUUGUUGGAGAAGAUAAUGACGGUAUCUAACGAAUAAGCACCGGCUAACUCCGUGCCAGCAGCCGCGGUAAUACGGAGGGUGCAAGCGUUAUUCGGAAUCACUGGGCGUAAAGAGCGCGUAGGCGGGUUAGCAAGUCAGAUGUGAAAGCCUAGGGCUUAACCAUAGAACUGCACUUGAAACUGUUAUUCUAGAGUAUGGGAGAGGCAGGUGGAAUUCUUGGUGUAGGGGUAAAAUCCGUAGAGAUCAAGAGGAAUACUCAUGGCGAAGGCGGCCUGCUAGGACUUAACUGACGCUGAGGCGCGAAAGCGUGGGUAGCAAACAGGAUUAGAUACCCUGGUAGUC